rnacentral:lncRNA from 1 species
AAAUCCUUGAAGCCAUUGGCAUCGAUUAUGUUGACGAGAGCGAAGUUCUAACCCCUGCCGACGAAGAAAACCAUAUUAACAAACAUAAUUUUCGGAUUCCUUUCGUUUGCGGGUGUCGGAAUUUGGGGGAAGCGCUUCGGAGGAUCCGAGAAGGAGCUGCUAUGAUUCGAACCAAAGGUGAAGCUGGGACCGGGAACAUUAUUGAAGCCGUUAGGCACGUGAGGUCCGUGAUGGGAGAUAUUAGGGUUCUUAGGAACAUGGAUGAUGAUGAGGUUUUCAGCUUCGCUAAGAAAAUUCAGUCUCCCUACGAUUUGGUUAUGCAGACGAAGCAGCUGGGGAGGUUGCCAGUGGUGCA